GUUGUUUGGUUUCUAACCUGAGAUUGAACUGGUUUCCAUCUCCUUCCAGAAACCCCCUGAAACACGAUUCAGACAUGGUCCCUUCAAUUUCCGAACUAAUCUCUUAGUAUAGGUAACGAUUUGACUUCGACUUUAGCUCAUUAAAAUCGUAUUGAUGAAGAUUAAUGUUUACUACCCCUUAAUCAUUCCGAAACACCUUGAAACCGAUCCUUUGAAAUACGAAUUUAAUCACCAUUAAAGUAUAUUUUGCACUUGAUGAACAUCUUUUGGGUUUUAAUCAAAUCAUAGAAUUGACUUUCAAAGCUUAUACCAUUCGAAUCCUCUGCAAAAACUAUGUAAAACCCCACUGAAAUUUCUCCAUUUCAUCACCUCUACAUCGCGAACUUAAUCGAAGAACAUUUGAGGACUUGUAACUUGUACAGACGAAAUCUACUUCAAUUCUCGACCUUUUCAGAAUUCCACAUAUUCCAGUUCGUGCGUUAAUUCUCGUGGAAUGUCUCUUCGCAACCUGUUUUCAAAGUUGAUGAUCAAGUGAUGUGGAUACGUAGCAUGGGCAUUAGGAAAUUAAAUUGAAAUCUUGAUAUGUUUAUUUUGAACAAUGUAUGAACAACUUUGAUUAUUAUAUGUUAUGUGACUAUUGAAAUGGA